rnacentral:rRNA from 1 species
CUCACCCUCGUAAGACUACCCGCUGAACUUAAGCAUAUCAAUAAGCGGAGGAAAAGAAACCAACAGGGAUUGCCUCAGUAACGGCGAGUGAAGCGGCAAAAGCUCAAAUUUGAAAUCCCCCGGGAAUUGUAAUUUGAAGAGAUUUGGGUCCGGCCGGCAGGGGUUAAGUCCACUGGAAAGUGGCGCCACAGAGGGUGACAGCCCCGUGAACCCCCUUAAAGCCCUCAUCCCAGAUCUCCAAGAGUCGAGUUGUUUGGGAAUGCAGCUCUAAGUGGGUGGUAAAUUCCAUCUAAAGCUAAAUACCGGCGAGAGACCGAUAGCGAACAAGUACAGUGAUGGAAAGAUGAAAAGCACUUUGAAAAGAGAGUGAAAAAGUACGUGAAAUUGUUGAAAGGGAAGGGCUUGCAAGCAGACACUUAACUGGGCCAGCAUCGGGGCGGCGGGGAGCAAAACCACUGGGGAAUGUACCUUUCGAGGAUUAUAACCCCGGUCCUUACUCCCUCACCAUCCCGAGGCCUGCAAUCUAAGGAUGCUGG